GGAGCAAACAGGAUUAGAUACCCUGGUCUGACACGCCGUAAACGAUGUCUACUUGGAGGUUGUGGCCUUGAGCCGUGGCUUUCGGAGCUAACGCGUUAAGUAGACCGCCUGUCAAGUACGGUCGCAAGAUUAAAACUCAAAUGAAUUGACGCCCGCCCGCACAAGCGGUGGAGCAUGUGGUUUAAUUCGAUGCAACGCGAAGAACCUUACCUACUCUUGACAUCCAGAGAACAAACCAGAGAUGGAUUGGUGCCUUCGGGAACUCUGAGACAGGUGCUGCAUGGCUGUCGUCAGCUCGUGUUGUGAAAUGUUGGGUUAAGUCCCGCAACGAGCGCAACCCUUAUCCUUGUUUGCCAGCGAGUAAUGUCGGGAACUCCAGGGAGACUGCCGGUGAUUUUCCGGAGGAAGGUGGGGACGACGUCAAGUCAUCAUGGGGGUUACGAGUAGGGCUACACACGUGCUACAAUGGCGCAUACAGAGGGCGGCCAACUUGCGAGAGUGAGCGAAUCCCAAAAAGUGCGUCGUAGUCCGGAUUGGAGUCUGCAACUCGACUCCAUGAAGUCGGAAUCGCUAGUAAUCGUGGAUCAGAAUGCCACGGUGAAUACGUUCCCGGGCCUUGUACACACCGCCCGUCACACCAUGGGAGUGGGCACGUAAAGAAGUAGGUAGUUUAACCUUCGGAUGCACG
rnacentral:rRNA from 1 species